GGUGUCGUAGCUCAGUCGGCUAGAGCGUUGCCCUGUCACGGCAGAGGUCGCGGGUUCGAGUCCCGUCGGCGCCGC
rnacentral:tRNA from 1 species